UGACUGCGUACCUUUUGUAUAAUGGGUCAGCGACUUAUAUUCUGUAGCAAGGUUAACCGAAUAGGGGAGCCGUAGGGAAACCGAGUCUUAACCGGGCGUUAAGUUGCAGGGUAUAGACCCGAAACCCGGUGAUCUAGCCAUGGGCAGGUUGAAGGUUGGGUAACACUAACUGGAGGACCGAACCGACUAAUGUUGAAAAAUUAGCGGAUGACCUGUGGCUGGGGGUGAAAGGCCAAUCAAACCGGGAGAUAGCUGGUUCUCCCCGAAAGCUAUUUAGGUAGCGCCUCGUGAAUUCAUCUCCGGGGGUAGAGCACUGUUUCGGCUAGGGGGCCAUCCCGGCUUACCAACCCGAUGCAAACUGCGAAUACCGGAGAAUGUUAUCACGGGAGACACACGGCGGGUGCUAACGUCCGUCGUGAAGAGGGAAACAACCCAGACCGCCAGCUAAGGUCCCAAAGUCAUGGUUAAGUGGGAAACGAUGUGGGAAGGCCCAGACAGCCAGGAUGUUGGCUUAGAAGCAGCCAUCAUUUAAAGAAAGCGUAAUAGCUCACUGGUCGAGUCGGCCUGCGCGGAAGAUGUAACGGGGCUAAACCAUGCACCGAAGCUGCGGCAGCGACACUAUGUGUUGUUGGGUAGGGGAGCGUUCUGUAAGCCUGUGAAGGUGUGUCGUGAGGCAUGCUGGAGGUAUCAGAAGUGCGAAUGCUGACAUAAGUAACGAUAAAGCGGGUGAAAAGCCCGCUCGCCGGAAGACCAAGGGUUCCUGUCCAACGUUAAUCGGGGCAGGGUGAGUCGACCCCUAAGGCGAGGCCGAAAGGCGUAGUCGAUGGGAAACGGGUUAAUAUUCCCGUACUUGGUGUUACUGCGAAGGGGGGACGGAGAAGGCUAUGUUGGCCGGGCGACGGUUGUCCCGGUUUAAGCGUGUAGGUGUGUGUUCCAGGUAAAUCCGGUUCACUUUAACACUGAGGCGUGAUGACGAGGCACUACGGUGCUGAAGCAACAAAUGCCCUGCUUCCAGGAAAAGCCUCUAAGCAUCAGGUAACAUCAAAUCGUACCCCAAACCGACACAGGUGGUCAGGUAGAGAAUACCAAGGCGCUUGAGAGAACUCGGGUGAAGGAACUAGGCAAAAUGGUGCCGUAACUUCGGGAGAAGGCACGCUGACACGUAGGUGAAGUGAUUUACUCAUGGAGCUGAAGUCAGUCGAAGAUACCAGCUGGCUGCAACUGUUUAUUAAAAACACAGCACUGUGCAAACACGAAAGUGGACGUAUACGGUGUGACGCCUGCCCGGUGCCGGAAGGUUAAUUGAUGGGGUCAGCGCAAGCGAAGCUCCUGAUCGAAGCCCCGGUAAACGGCGGCCGUAACUAUAACGGUCCUAAGGUAGCGAAAUUCCUUGUCGGGUAAGUUCCGACCUGCACGAAUGGCGUAAUGAUGGCCAGGCUGUCUCCACCCGAGACUCAGUGAAAUUGAACUCGCUGUGAAGAUGCAGUGUACCCGCGGCAAGACGGAAAGACCCCGUGAACCUUUACUAUAGCUUGACACUGAACAUUGAGCCUUGAUGUGUAGGAUAGGUGGGAGGCUUUGAAGCGUGGACGCCAGUCUGCGUGGAGCCGACCUUGAAAUACCACCCUUUAAUGUUUGAUGUUCUAACGUGGACCCGUGAUCCGGGUUGCGGACAGUGUCUGGUGGGUAGUUUGACUGGGGCGGUCUCCUCCUAAAGAGUAACGGAGGAGCACGAAGGUUGGCUAAUCCUGGUCGGACAUCAGGAGGUUAGUGCAAUGGCAUAAGCCAGCUUGACUGCGAGCGUGACGGCGCGAGCAGGUGCGAAAGCAGGUCAUAGUGAUCCGGUGGUUCUGAAUGGAAGGGCCAUCGCUCAACGGAUAAAAGGUACUCCGGGGAUAACAGGCUGAUACCGCCCAAGAGUUCAUAUCGACGGCGGUGUUUGGCACCUCGAUGUCGGCUCAUCACAUCCUGGGGCUGAAGUAGGUCCCAAGGGUAUGGCUGUUCGCCAUUUAAAGUGGUACGCGAGCUGGGUUUAGAACGUCGUGAGACAGUUCGGUCCCUAUCUGCCGUGGGCGCUGGAGAACUGAGGGGGGCUGCUCCUAGUACGAGAGGACCGGAGUGGACGCAUCACUGGUGUUCGGGUUGUCAUGCCAAUGGCACUGCCCGGUAGCUAAAUGCGGAAGAGAUAAGUGCUGAAAGCAUCUAAGCACGAAACUUGCCCCGAGAUGAGUUCU
rnacentral:rRNA from 1 species